rnacentral:rRNA from 1 species
UACGGGAGGCAGCAGUAGGGAAUCUUCCGCAAUGGACGAAAGUCUGACGGAGCAACGCCGCGUGAACGAUGAAGGUCUUCGGAUCGUAAAGUUCUGUUGUCAGGGAAGAACAAGUACCGUGCGAAUAGAGCGGUACCUUGACGGUACCUGACGAGGAAGCCCCGGCUAACUACGUGCCAGCAGCCGCGGUAAU